AUUGAACGCUGGCGGCAGGCCUAACACAUGCAAGCCGAGCGGUAUUGUUUCUUCGGAAAUGAGAGAGCGGCGUACGGGUGCGGAACACGUGUGCAACCUGCCUUUAUCUGGAGGAUAGCCUUUCGAAAGGAAGAUUAAUACUCCAUAACAUAUUGAUUGGCAUAAAUUAAUAUUGAAAGCUCCGGCGGAUAGAGAUGGGCACGCGCAAGAUUAGCUAGUUGGUGAGGUAACGGCUCACCAAGGCGAUGAUCUUUAGGGGGCCUGAGAGGGUGAACCCCCACAGUGGUACUAGGACACGGACCAGACUGCUACGGGAGGCAGCAGUGAGGAAGAUUGGUCAAUGGGUGCAAGCCUGACACAGCCAUCCCGCGGAAAGGAUGUCUGCCCUAUGGGUUGUAAACUUCUUUUUUACAGGAACAAAUGUUGCUACGUGUAGCAAUUUGCGUGUACCGUACGAAUAAGCAUCGGCUAACUCCGUGCCAGCAGCCGCCGUAAUAC
rnacentral:rRNA from 1 species